rnacentral:rRNA from 1 species
UACAGAGGGUGCGAGCGUUAAUCGGAAUUACUGGGUUUAAAGGGUGCGUAGGCGGCUUGGUAAGUCAGGAGUGAAAGUUUGCGGCUCAACCGUAAAAUUGCUUUUGAUACUGCCAGGCUAGGAUCAGGAUGAGGUCAGCGGAAUGUGGCAUGUAGCGGUGAAAUGCAUAGAUAUGCCAUAGAACACCUAUUGCGAAGGCAGCUGGCUAGACCUGUAUUGACGCUGAGGCACGAAAGCGUGGGGAGCGAACAGG